UACAGAGGUCCCAAGCGUUGUUCGGAUUCAUUGGGCGUAAAGGGUGCGUAGGCGGCGCGGUAAGUCGGGUGUGAAAUCUCGGAGCUUAACUCCGAAACUGCAUUCGAUACUGCCGUGCUUGAGGACUGGAGAGGAGACUGGAAUUUACGGUGUAGCGGUGAAAUGCGUAGAUAUCGGGAAGAACAUCAGUGGCGAAGGCGGCCUGCUGGGCUGUUGCUGACGCUGAGGCGCGACAGCGUGGGGAGCAAACAGG
rnacentral:rRNA from 1 species